GCCGCCCGCCUUGGGCCAGGGGAGUCCCUGGAGGAGGCGAGAGCUCCCGGUCGUGGCGGCGGUGCCUCGGCGCCAUGGGAGCCGGGGCGUGCGCUGGGCCUGUGCCCGCCAGCGGAGCGGGGCGCGGGUGAGGGUUAAAUGCACCCCGAGAACAACAGCUGCCUUUCUCUCUGCUGCUGCUUCCCCUAAACAUCAGCAGACAUCCCCAUUCCUCACCCUCUUUUCCCGCGUUCUCCGCUAAACGAAGAACCACCCCUACUCCCAAGAUGGCUUUGUGUACAUUGUAACCUCCCGCAAGUCACUGAGGCUGAUAGCAAAGCUGGAAGCUGCAAGGAAUGCCAUGGGAAAGAACAUGGAGUUCUAGUGUACUACCAGAAAGUUUCUGAAGAUAAAGAAUAUGGUGUUGGACAUUUGGAGAACAAAGCUGCUUCCAUGCUUUAAAAAUGGGGGGAAACCAGCAACAACAAAACAAAGCAAGGGAAGGACGGUCACCAACUUGUGCUUAUGUCCCUGCCUCCAACCUGGUGAUAAAAGUACUUGCACAAGUGGAGCUUCACACCACUUCUGCAUAAACAGCUUAUGUAUUUCCACACUGCCUCCUAGAUUCCUCCUUUUCCUUCCUCCUCACUGGUGUCCACUUGCAGACUCUGCUUCUUGUUCAUCUCAGCUUCUCCUAGUUCACCCCAGCCCACUUUUAUGGCUCCCACCCAAUCUACCCCUCAAAUCUUUUGACUCAAAUUUCUUUCUACUUGGGUCUCCUAAUACUUAUAUACAGCUCUCUGCCGUAGCAUUUGAGAUCCAGUUGUUGCCCUUUCUACUCUCUCCCUGCUCCCAUUCUGGGGUAGAUGCACAUGUGCAUCCAUCCUUAUCUCCCUGAGCCACCUUGCAGUAGAUAAUCCUUGCCUGCAGAUCCCUGGCCUUGCCAGAUCUCCUACAAGGCUCCUCCUCUAGGAGGGCUUUCAAAAUCCUGUAUGUGAGCUGUGCUUAACUAAGAUCCAACCAAAGGGAGAUGGGAGAGGAGAAAUGCUGGUGUGUUUAUGAAAAACACGUGAUAGUGCUACCCAGGCAAUGCCUACUUCUACAUAAAAUACAGAACAAGGACUUUUCAAAGGUACGGAGUCCCCCAUAGUGAAGACUGCCAAAUGGCUGCCCAAAAUCAAAAAUUUAGAGCGACA